UACGUAGGGUGCGAGCGUUGUCCGGAUUUAUUGGGCGUAAAGAGCUCGUAGGCGGUUUGUCGCGUCGGCCGUGAAAUCUCCACGCUUAACGUGGAGCGUGCGGUCGAUACGGGCAGACUUGAGUUCGGUAGGGGAGACUGGAAUUCCUGGUGUAGCGGUGAAAUGCGCAGAUAUCAGGAAGAACACCCGUGGCGAAGGCGGCUCUCUGGGACGUGACUGACGCUGAGACGCGAAAGCGUGGGGAGCGAACAGG
rnacentral:rRNA from 1 species